rnacentral:lncRNA from 1 species
UGGGCCUUGCCUCUCAGGCACAGACAGGCUGAUGUUUAUGACACUGAACUGUGUUUUUUUUUUUUUACAGUGAGAUUAAAGGCCCGAACGUGGAAGGAUUUAGCCGAAAAUGGAGGCAGGCCCGGUUCUGUUAGGACCUGGGAAGAAUGGGAGGAGCCUGCAGACACAGGCCCUGUGAGGUUCAGAUGGAAACAGUGCCAGUGAGUCAGAGAUGCUCAGGGCAGUUCUAAUUUCCACUGCCCAUUUGUGUAUCAUCGCUUCCAUAAGGGACUUCGAUGGAUGGGGUCGGGAGAGGGGAGAUGCCACUUGCUGCUCAGAAGUUGAUAUUUUGUCAGAAGAAGGAAGGAAAGGAAAGACCUUGAGGAAAGUACAAAGUCUACCCACACGAGCAUUUCCUAAUGAGCGUUCUGCAGAAAACAAGUUCCACAAAGCAUUGGUAGGUGUUAUUCGCGGGGUGCACUUCGAAUUUGCAAUCACCAUGAGGCUCCAGGGUGAGGAAUGUCUUCUGACUCUACUUCUGCAAACUUCAUUCGAUGCGCCUGUGAGAGAAAACGAGGGAUCCCAGUGUCUGAAGGAAAAAAUGGUUCUGUAAUCUAUGAAGUCAAAUCACAGUUGAUAGCAGAAAGUGACACGAAACGGGAACUAGGAAAAAUUAAGUUGCAAGGUAUAGAUUUCGUCCGACUAAAUUAGAGGUAAGCAAUACCCACUUCUCUCUUAGGGCCCACGCUCCAAAUAAAACGGAUGCUUGUUGGGGUGUGUGGUUUCUU